GAAAUGCGAUAAGUAAUGUGAAUUGCAGAAUUCAGUGAAUCAUCGAAUCUUUGAACGCACAUUGCGCCCUGUGGUAUUCCGCAGGGCAUGCCUGUUCGAGCGUCAUUU
rnacentral:rRNA from 1 species